rnacentral:tRNA from 3 species
CCGCCUUGUAGGCGAUGCGCAUGCCCUUGCCGCCGCCGCCGGCGGAGGCCUUGAUCAUCACGGGGUAGCCGAUCUCCUCGGCGAUGCGGACC